rnacentral:rRNA from 1 species
UGGGGAAUAUUGCACAAUGGGCGCAAGCCUGAUGCAGCCAUGCCGCGUGUAUGAAGAAGGCCUUCGGGUUGUAAAGUACUUUCAGUCGGGAGGAAGGUGGUAAGGUUAAUAACCUUGUCGAUUGACGUUACCCGCAGAAGAAGCACCGGCUAACUCCGUGCCAGCAGCCGCGGUAAUACGGAGGGUGCAAGCGUUAAUCGGAAUUACUGGGCGUAAAGCGCACGCAGGCGGUCUGUCAAGUCGGAUGUGAAAUCCCCGGGCUCAACCUGGGAACUGCAUUCGAAACUGGCAGGCUAGAGUCUUGUAGAGGGGGGUAGAAUUCCAGGUGUAGCGGUGAAAUGCGUAGAGAUCUGGAGGAAUACCGGUGGCGAAGGCGGCCCCCUGGACAAAGACUGACGCUCAGGUGCGAAAGCGUGGGGAGCAAACAGG